GACGAACGCUGGCGGCGUGCCUAAUACAUGCAAGUCGAACGAACUCUGGUAUUGAUUGGUGCUUGCAUCAUGAUUUACAUUUGAGCGAGCGGCGAACUGGUGAGUAACACGUGGGAAACCUGCCCAGAAGCGGGGGAUAACACCUGGAAACAGAUGCUAAUACCGCAUAACAACUUGGACCGCAUGGUCCGAGUUUGAAAGAUGGCUUCGGCUAUCACUUUUGGAUGGUCCCGCGGCGUAUUAGCUAGAUGGUGGGGUAACGGCUCACCAUGGCAAUGAUACGUAGCCGACCUGAGAGGGUAAUCGGCCACAUUGGGACUGAGACACGGCCCAAACUCCUACGGGAGGCAGCAGUAGGGAAUCUUCCACAAUGGACGAAAGUCUGAUGGAGCAACGCCGCGUGAGUGAAGAAGGGUUUCGGCUCGUAAAACUCUGUUGUUAAAGAAGAACAUAUCUGAGAGUAACUGUUCAGGUAUUGACGGUAUUUAACCAGAAAGCCACGGCUAACUACGUGCCAGCAGCCGCGGUAAUACGUAGGUGGCAAGCGUUGUCCGGAUUUAUUGGGCGUAAAGCGAGCGCAGGCGGUUUUUUAAGUCUGAUGUGAAAGCCUUCGGCUCAACCGAAGAAGUGCAUCGGAAACUGGGAAACUUGAGUGCAGAAGAGGACAGUGGAACUCCAUGUGUAGCGGUGAAAUGCGUAGAUAUAUGGAAGAACACCAGUGGCGAAGGCGGCUGUCUGGUCUGUAACUGACGCUGAGGCUCGAAAGUAUGGGUAGCAAACAGGAUUAGAUACCCUGGUAGUCCAUACCGUAAACGAUGAAUGCUAAGUGUUGGAGGGUUUCCGCCCUUCAGUGCUGCAGCUAACGCAUUAAGCAUUCCGCCUGGGGAGUACGGCCGCAAGGCUGAAACUCAAAGGAAUUGACGGGGGCCCGCACAAGCGGUGGAGCAUGUGGUUUAAUUCGAAGCUACGCGAAGAACCUUACCAGGUCUUGACAUACUAUGCAAAUCUAAGAGAUUAGACGUUCCCUUCGGGGACAUGGAUACAGGUGGUGCAUGGUUGUCGUCAGCUCGUGUCGUGAGAUGUUGGGUUAAGUCCCGCAACGAGCGCAACCCUUAUUAUCAGUUGCCAGCAUUAAGUUGGGCACUCUGGUGAGACUGCCGGUGACAAACCGGAGGAAGGUGGGGAUGACGUCAAAUCAUCAUGCCCCUUAUGACCUGGGCUACACACGUGCUACAAUGGAUGGUACAACGAGUUGCGAACUCGCGAGAGUAAGCUAAUCUCUUAAAGCCAUUCUCAGUUCGGAUUGUAGGCUGCAACUCGCCUACAUGAAGUCGGAAUCGCUAGUAAUCGCGGAUCAGCAUGCCGCGGUGAAUACGUUCCCGGGCCUUGUACACACCGCCCGCCACACCAUGAGAGUUUGUAACACCCAAAGUCGGUGGGGUAACCUUUUAGGAACCAGCCGCCUAAGGUGGGACAGAUGAUUAGGGUG
rnacentral:rRNA from 2 species